GACUUAAAAAAUCCGUCGACUUUAGAAAUCGUGAGGGUUCAAGUCCCUCUAUCCCCC
rnacentral:tRNA from 1 species